CCCAGACUCCUACGGGAGGCAGCAGUGGGGAAUAUUGGGCAAUGGGCGCAAGCCUGACCCAGCAACGCCGCGUGAAGGAAGAAGGCUUUCGGGUUGUAAACUUCUUUUAAGAGGGACGAAGGAAGUGACGGUACCUCUUGAAUAAGCCACGGCUAACUACGUGCCAGCAGCCGCGGUAAUACGUAGGUGGCAAGCGUUAUCCGGAUUUAUUGGGUGUAAAGGGCGUGUAGGCGGGAGCGCAAGUCAGAUGUGAAAACUCAGGGCUCAACCCUGAGCCUGCAUUUGAAACUGUGUUUCUUGAGUGCUGGAGAGGCAAUCGGAAUUCCGUGUGUAGCGGUGAAAUGCGUAGAUAUACGGAGGAACACCAGUGGCGAAGGCGGAUUGCUGGACAGUAACUGACGCUGAGGCGCGAAAGCGUGGGGAGCAAACAGGAUUAGAUACCCUCGUAAU
rnacentral:rRNA from 1 species